rnacentral:rRNA from 1 species
CCUACGGGGGGCAGCAGUGGGGAAUAUUGGACAAUGGGCGAAAGCCUGAUCCAGCCAUGCCGCGUGUGUGAAGAAGGCCUUCGGGUUGUAAAGCACUUUCAGUGGGGAAGAAAGCCUUGGGGCUAAUACCCUCGAGGAAGGACAUCACCCACAGAAGAAGCACCGGCUAACUCCGUGCCAGCAGCCGCGGUAAUACGGAGGGUGCGAGCGUUAAUCGGAAUUACUGGGCGUAAAGCGCGCGUAGGCGGUCUGAUAAGCCGGUUGUGAAAGCCCCGGGCUCAACCUGGGAACGGCAUCCGGAACUGUCAGGCUAGAGUGCAGGAGAGGAAGGUAGAAUUCCCGGUGUAGCGGUGAAAUGCGUAGAGAUCGGGAGGAAUACCAGUGGCGAAGGCGGCCUUCUGGACUGACACUGACGCUGAGGUGCGAAAGCAUGGGUAGCAAACAGGAUUAGAUACCCGAGUAGUC